rnacentral:rRNA from 1 species
AUGGCGGCGACGGCGACUGCGACGGCGGCGGCGACGAGCGUGGUGACGGGGACGACGCGGUGGUGCCCGACGCCGGAGCAGCUGAUGAUCCUGGAGGAGAUGUACCGCGGCGGGCUGCGCACCCCCAACGCGUCGCAGAUCCAGCAGAUCACGGCGCACCUGGCCCACUACGGCCGCAUCGAGGGCAAGAACGUCUUCUACUGGUUCCAGAACCACAAGGCCCGGGACCGCCAGAAGCUCCGCCGCAGGCUCUGCAUGAGCCACCACCUCCUCUCCUGCGCGCACUACUACGCCGCCGCCAACGCCGGCCAGUACCACCAGCAGCAGCAGCUCCUCGGCGCCGGCGCGGUGCCUCCUCCGCUGCUGCAGCACCCGCAGCAGCAGCAGUACUACUCCGCCUCUUGCGCCGGUGGCGGCUACGACCAGCACCUGCUCCCGACGACCGUCCCAGCUUCCGCUUACGCUGCUGCUGCUGGGUACGCCUACCCCUUCGCCGGCGUGCCGGCAAGCCGGUGCGCCGAGCCCUCGCCGCCAAACACCCCGCUCUCCUUCCAUCAUCAGGGAGGAGGCGUAGUGGGAUCGCCGGAGUACUCGCUGGGGAGGCUGGGCAACUUCGGCGUGGUGGAGGACACAUGCCGGCCGUCGCGGUACGAGCAGCAGCCGCAGCAGCUGGCCGCGGCGACGGAAGAUCAGGCGGCGCCGGUGACGGCGACGGGGCUGUUCUGCCGGCCGCUGAAGACGCUGGACCUCUUCCCCGGCGCGAUCAAGGAGGAGCAGCGCGACGUCGCCUAG